rnacentral:rRNA from 1 species
GCUGGCGGCGUGGAUAAGACAUGCAAGUCGGACGAGAUUUUUCGUUGUAGCAAUACGAUGGAAAGUCUAGUGGCGAACGGGUGCUUAACACGUGGGCAAUCUGUCUUAAAGUGGGGGAUAGCUCGGCGAAAGCCGAAUUAAUACCGCAUGUGAUUAGAGUGGACAUCCAUUCGAAAUUAAAGUCGGGGCAACCUGACGCUUUUUGAGGAGCCCGCGGCCUAUCAGCUUGUUGGUGAGGUAACGGCUCACCAAGGCUUUGACGGGUAGCUGGUCUGAGAGGACGACCAGCCACACUGGGACUGAGACACGGCCCAGACACCUACGGGUGGCAGCAGUCGAGAAUUUUUCUCAAUGGGGGAAACCCUGAAGGAGCGACGCCGCGUGGAGGAUGAAGGUCUUCGGAUUGUAAACUCCUGUCAUUGGGGAACAAGUCGCUUACGUUAACUGCGUGAGCGUUGAUAGUACCCGAAGAGGAAGAGACGGCUAACUCUGUGCCAGCAGCCGCGG